rnacentral:rRNA from 1 species
GAGUCGGACCUGCCCAGUGAGUAAUUUUUAACGGCCGCGGUACUCUGACCGUGCAAAGGUAGCAUAAUCAUUUGCCCUAUAAUUGAGGGCUAGUAUGAAUGGUUUGACGUGAACAAGACUGUCUCUGUGUGAUUUACUAAAACUUGAUCUUUAGGUGAGGAAACCUAAAUUUCAUUGAUAGACAAGAAGACCCUAUUGAGCUUUAAAGAAGCAGAUAUGAGAACUAAUGUAUAGCUUUAGAUAUUAAUCUAUCUGAAAUUUUGGUUGGGGCGACUGUGGAACAAGCAAAGCUUCUUUAUAUUUAAAAGACUCACAGGUUUUGAUCCAAAAAUUUUGAUUAAUGAAAUUAGUUACCAUAGGGAUAACAGCAUAAUUCUCUUCAAGAGUUCUUAUCGAAAAGAGAGUUUGUGACCUCGAUGUUGGACUAGAAUAUCCUGAAGAUGCAGCAGUCUUCAAGGGUUGGUC